rnacentral:misc_RNA from 1 species
GCACAACGCCACAGCCACCGCAGGCCAGCCGAGCGGGACGGACGGGACACGUGGCGGCACGUGUCUGUUCUCGGCCACCGUCGCCGGGAUAAAUUUUCCGAACCCAGUUGACCCGACCGCCGAUGAACCCUGGCCAGAUUCCUCGGCACGUGGGCCCACCUCACCAGCCUCAGCUGCCGCCUGCCUGACUUGGGCCCUGCCCCUUCCUGUACCUGUCCUCAAGGUCGCCCCCGCGCUGCCCAUCCCCCUCCCCCUCCUCCUUCCUCGGCAGCUCGUGGCGCUCCAGUCCACAGAGGAGAGGACACGACACGACGAGGGGCCAGGCAGCAAGCUCUGCUCAGUCCGUUCCGCGGGCCGGUCGGUCGGCGAUGGCGCGGCACGCGGGCACGGCGCUCCUGGACCUGGUGGCGGGGCAGGUGGACCCGGGCGCGCCGGGGUUCUGGCGCGACUUCCUGGUCGGCAUGCUCAAGCCGGCGGCGGCCACGGCCGUGGUGGCCAUGGCCGUCGGGCUCAGCUUCUCGCAGCGCCUGGGGCUCGAGGGCGAGAUGCUCUACGCCAUCGCACGCGCCUUCCUCCAGCUCUCCGCCAUCGGCUUCGUCCUCCAGUUCAUCUUCGCCCAGAAGAACGCGCUCUGGAUCCUCCUCGCCUACCUCUUCAUGGUGACGGUCGCCGGGUACACGGCGGGGCAGCGCGCCAGGCAGGUGCCGCGCGGGAAGCGCAUCGCCUGCGUCUCCAUCCUCGUCGGCACCGCCGUCACCAUGCUCCUGCUCGUCCUCCUCGACGUCUUCCCCUUCACCCCGCGCUACAUCAUCCCCGUCGCCGGCAUGAUGGUCGGCAACGCCAUGACCGUCACCGGCGUCACCAUGAAGAAGCUCCGGGAGGACGUCAAGAUCCAGAGGAACCUGGUGGAGACGGCGCUGGCGCUGGGCGCGACGCCGCGGCAGGCGACGCUGCAGCAGGUGAAGCGGUCGCUGGUCAUCGCGCUGUCCCCGGUGAUCGACAGCGCCAAGACGGUGGGGCUCAUCGCGCUGCCGGGCGCCAUGACGGGGCUCAUCAUGGGCGGCGCGUCGCCGCUGGAGGCCAUCCAGCUGCAGAUCGUCGUCAUGAACAUGCUCAUGGGCGCCUCCACCGUCAGCAGCAUCCUCUCCACCUACCUCUGCUGGCCGGCCUUCUUCACCAAGGCCUUCCAGCUCGACGACAGGGUCUUUGCAGACUAAGAUACAUGCUGGAUUGUAAUGUAACCGAGUCCCAGUUGUUUGAGCCUUUUGAGGUAGAAACAGAGCUAAGAGCUGUGGCUUUCGGUGUCACUGUUGAUGCUGAGUUCUUGGGGAGGCUCUCGGGCGGGUAUCGCGCGUUGGAUCCCCAUUUGACCAAACAGUUUUUAGAUAAUGGAAAAAAUCAAAAAUCAUCCGACCUUGGCCUCAAAUGAGCCUCAAAUAGCCUCAAAUGAGGUUACCGCCAAUUUGACCAAACAGUUAGGUGUGCUUUCAAUACAAAAAGGAACUUUACAAAAGCGCUUCUAAAACUUAGUUCAAGUUUGAGUUUGAAAAGUAUGUACAAUGUUCUUAGGGAAG